CCUACGGGAGGCAGCAGUGAGGAAUAUUGGUCAAUGGGCGGAAGCCUGAACCAGCCAAGUAGCGUGCAGGAUGACGGCCCUACGGGUUGUAAACUGCUUUUAUACGGGAAUAACGCGCCUUACGUGUAGGUCUUUGCUUGUACCGUAUGAAUAAGGACCGGCUAAUUCCGUGCCAGCAGCCGCGGUAAUACGGAAGGUCCGGGCGUUAUCCGGAUUUAUUGGGUUUAAAGGGAGCGUAUGCGGCCUGUCAAGCGUGCUGUGAAAUGUCCGGGCUCAACCCGGGCCUUGCAGCGCGAACUGGCGUGCUGGAGUCCGCGGAAAGCAGGCGGAAUGCGUCGUGUAGCGGUGAAAUGCUUAGAUAUGACGAAGAACCCCGAUUGCGAAGGCAGCUUGCUGCAGCGGAACUGACGCUGAUGCUCGAAAGCGCGGGUAUCGAACAGGAUUAGAUACCCUGGUAGUC
rnacentral:rRNA from 1 species